CUCUGAGCUGAGGAAAUCCUCAGGAUUGAGUGAAGGUGUGCGUGCAAUAUACCGGUGGGCCAGAACUAAUAGUAAUUACAAAUUAUCCUGCGGGCCGAAAUUAAAUCCACCAAGGACCUGAUUUAUCUAUUGAUUAGAUUUAUGAUUCGACUUUUGAAACUACAAGAAGAUAAGGAGGACUUUUACAAAAAAGUAACAGAGAUUUUUGUCCAGAAGGAUAGGCAAAUGGACUUCAUCUUCAAGUCAAGGCUCAUCUAAAGGACGGCGCGGAGCAGAGGUGGGCUUUAAGCCACCACUAUUGUGUUUGCUCCUACAAUUUGGUGACCUUCCGACGUGAUGAGUGCUGGUCUCUAGAAGGAACGGAAUUCAGUCCAGGGGAGGACACCUGCACACCGUUGACAACUAAACCAGGACGUCCAGAUACAAAGUGUGGACGGAUUGAGACAGCAUGUUGUCCAGAGAGCAGCAGAGACUUCAGGGAGAAACCUCCGUGUGAUGGAUGUCCUGUCUGUUGGUUUGGAG